rnacentral:rRNA from 1 species
UACGUAGGGGCCUAGCGUUGUCCGGAUUUAUUGGGCGUAAAGAGCUCGUAGGCGGUUCGGUAAGUCCGCUGUGAAAGUCGGGGGCUCAACCCUCGGAUGCCGGUGGAUACUGUCGGGCUCGAGUACGGAAGAGGCGAGUGGAAUUCCUGGUGUAGCGGUGAAAUGCGCAGAUAUCAGGAGGAACACCAAUUGCGAAGGCAGCUCGCUGGGACGUUACUGACGCUGAGACGCGAAAGCGUGGGGAGCAAACAGG